rnacentral:rRNA from 1 species
UAGUUUAGUGGCGGACGGGUGAGUAACACGUGAGCAACCUGCCUUCGAGAGGGGAAUAACGGCUGGAAACGGUCGCUAAUACCGCAUAACAUACACGGGGGGACAUCCCGUUUUGUAUCAAAGAUUUAUCGCUCGAAGAUGGGCUCGCGUCCGAUUAGGUAGUUGGUGAGGUAAUGGCCCACCAAGCCGACGAUCGGUAGCCGGACUGAGAGGUUGAACGGCCACAUUGGGACUGAGGCACGGCCCAGACUCCUACGGAAGGCAGCAG